GACGAACGCUGGCGGCGUGCUUAACACAUGCAAGUCGAACGGUGAAGCGCCUUCCUUUUUGGUGGGUGUGGAUGAGUGGCGAACGGGUGAGUAACACGUGAGUAACCUGCCCCCUUCUUCUGGAUAACCGCAUGAAAGUGUGGCUAAUACGGGAUAUUCUGGGUCUGUCGCAUGAUGGGUCUGGGAAAGAUAUUGUUUCGGUGGGGGAUGGGCUCGCGGCCUAUCAGCUUGUUGGUGGGGUGAUGGCCUACCAAGGCGGUGACGGGUAGCCGGCCUGAGAGGGUGGACGGUCACACUGGGACUGAGACACGGCCCAGACUCCUACGGGAGGCAGCAGUGGGGAAUAUUGCACAAUGGGCGCAAGCCUGAUGCAGCGACGCCGCGUGAGGGAUGGAGGCCUUCGGGUUGUGAACCUCUUUCGCCAGUGAAGCAGGCCUGCCUCGUUUGUGGGCGGGUUGACGGUAGCUGGAUAAGAAGCGCCGGCUAACUACGUG
rnacentral:rRNA from 1 species